AUAAGUUGGUGGCAAGCGUUGUGCGGAUUUAUUGGGCGUAAAGUGAGCGUAGGCGGCUUCUUAAGUCAGAUGUGAAAGCCCCCGGCUUAAACGGGGAGGGUAAUUCGAAACUGGGAAGGUUGAGUGCAGUAGUGGACUGGGGAAUUACCUGAGUAGCGGUGGAAGGGGUAGUCAUAUGGAGGAAGACCAGUGGCGAAGGGGACUCUCUGGUCUGUAACUGACGCUGAGGCUCGAAAGCGUGGGGAGCAAACAGGAUUAGAUACCCUGGUAGUCCACGCCGUAAACGAUGAGUGCUAAGUGUUGGAGGGUUUCCGCCCUUCAGUGCUGCAGCUAACGCAUUAAGCACUCCGCCUGGGGAGUACGACCGCAAGGUUGAAACUCAAAUGAAUUGACGGGG
rnacentral:rRNA from 1 species